rnacentral:rRNA from 1 species
ACGAACGCUGGCUGCGUGCUUAACACAUGCAAGUCGCACGGAAAGGCCCUGCUUUUGUGGGGUGCUCGCGUGGCGAACGGGUGAGUAACACGUGAGUAACCUGCCCUUGACUUUGGGUUAACUUCAGGAAACUGGGGCUAAUACCGGAUAGGAGCUCCUGCUGCAUGGUGGGGGUUGGAAAGUUUCGGCGGUUGGGGAUGGACUCGCGGCUUAUCAGCUUGUUGGUGGGGUAGUGGCUUACCAAGGCUUUGACGGGUAGCCGGCCUGAGAGGGUGACCGGCCACAUUGGGACUGAGAUACAGCCCAGACUCCUACGGGAGGCAGCAGUGGGGAAUAUUGCAAAAUGGGCGGAAGCCUGAUGCAGCAACGCCGCGUGCGGGAUGACGGCCUUCGGGUUGUAAACCGCUUUCGCCUGUGACGAAGCGUGAGUGACGGUAAUGGGUAAAGAAGCACCGGCUAACUACGUG